UCCGUCAACAAGCGGAGGGGGGAAGCUCACACUUGCAGCCAGGAAGCUCGCAUUGGAAGCUGGCAGUCAGGCAGCUCACAGCUCGCAUGGCAAGCGGCGCAGCUCCGACAUGUCACAACACAAAUAAGCGCUGACUGCGGCCCGGAAAGCACCGCAUUUGCCCCCCCUGUACACCCCCGGUAGUCCGCGGCCACGCCCUGGAGCCCGAAGAAAAGUGCCGGCAGUGAUCGGGCGGAGGAAGCAUGCGGGAGUACAAGGUGGUGGUCCUGGGCUCCGGAGGGGUCGGCAAGUCGGCCCUGACCGUGCAGUUCGUGACGGGCUCCUUCAUCGAGAAGUACGACCCCACCAUCGAGGACUUCUACCGCAAGGAGAUCGAGGUGGACUCCUCUCCCUCCGUGCUGGAGAUCCUGGACACGGCCGGCACCGAGCAGUUCGCCUCCAUGCGGGACUUGUACAUCAAGAACGGCCAGGGCUUCAUCCUGGUCUACAGUCUGGUCAACCAGCAGAGCUUCCAGGACAUCAAGCCCAUGCGGGACCAGAUCAUCCGGGUCAAGCGCUAUGAGCGGGUGCCCAUGAUCCUGGUGGGCAACAAAGUGGACCUGGAGGCCGAGCGGGAGGUGUCCGGCGGGGAAGGGGAGGCGCUGGCCGAGGAGUGGAAGUGUCCCUUCAUGGAGACCUCGGCCAAGAACAAGAUCUCCGUGGACGAGCUCUUCGCGGAGAUAGUCCGCCAGAUGAACUAUGUCUCCUCCGCGCCAGAUGCUGACCACCCGUGUUGUGCGGCUUGUGUCCUCCUCUGAACACACACAACACUUCUCAUGCGACGCUUAUCCCGUUCAGUGUCACAGAUAAGCACAGCUGCACAUGUGAGAUGGGGGCCCACCCUGGACUGGGUCGCUAGAUCACAGAACUCCUACAGAAAUCCAUUCCCAGCCACAGUUACUACACCGCCAGUGAUCAGUGUGUCUGGGCCGGGCCUUGGAGGACGAAGAAGAGGAAUGGCGCCGAGGAGGAGGAGGAGGAGGGUUGAAUAACUGAGGCAGAGGGGAUGAGUCCGCUCUUGAGGAAUUCUGCUGGCUCGGAGAAUCUUUCCUGCGUGGUCAGUGUCCACAAUUGAGGUCUGAUCCCAAGUUGGAGCGACCGCCUCCCACCCACGACUUCCAGACGUGGAAACAAUAUAGAGAACAUUUAAAGAUGCUCUGAAAGUAUAUUUUGUUAAAGAACUGCACAGUCACUCCUGGAUGGGUACAACUUCAUGCUUCUUUUUUUGGUGGAGGACUAACCUGACAAUCUCCUGGGGUGUGGGAGGAGACUCCAGCUGACUCGACGUGGCGACCGCCUCACGUCCAGUGCCUUCCCCCCACCCUCACCCAACACACUUCAGCUGCUCCCAUUUAGUGCCAAGCCUCGAAAAACAAAAACCUCAGCGUGGCCAACCCACUCCUCUCUAGAUAGCCGCUUCAGGGCCGACCCUGGUUCUAAAGACUGCAGGGCUUCUGUUCACGGAAUGGUGCUUCUCGUCUCUUCUACCUUCUGGGUCUUUUGUCUUUUCCCCCGGGAUUGGCCUUGUUUCCUGCUUCAGCCAAACCUACAAGUCUUGAAACGCACAGGUACUGGAACAAUAAUAGUGACGCUUCCAGACCUCCUCAAUCAAUCAUACCUUUUGUAGGACACCUGAUGAUGAUGAUGAUGAUGAUGAUGUUGACAAAUCUAAUCUUGAUUGUAUGUUGAAUUUUAGGCCAGCCUUUUAACUGUGGGUGGUCUGUUUGAAAAAAACAACAACGUUUAAUACAGAUGACUUUUUUAAAGAAACAUGA